UACAGAGGUCUCAAGCGUUUGUUCGGAUUCAUUGGGCGUAAAGGGUGCGUAGGCGGCGCGGUAAGUCGGGUGUGAAAUCUCGGAGCUUAACUCCGAAACUGCAUUCGAUACUGCCGUGCUAGAGGACUGGAGAGGAGACUGGAAUUUACGGUGUAGCGGUGAAAUGCGUAGAUAUCAGGAGGAACACCGGUGGCGAAGGCGGGUCUCUGGGCCGAUACUGACGCUGGGGGAGCGAAAGCGUGGGGAGCGAACGAGG
rnacentral:rRNA from 1 species